CCUAAGACCGUCAGUAUAUCAGAACUACUAGCUAAUGAUCACUCGGAUAUUCAACCGACAUAUCAAUAUUACCGACAUAUAGUCGACUAAUCUACUCAAUAUAUUGUAACCGUCAUAAAUGGUUAUUUGACUAUGUAUCACGGUAAUUAGUGAGAAUUAAUGACCCACUAACUCUAUAAUUAUGAUCCGAUAAUUUAGCGCCAUAAAAAAUAUGAUCACAUGCUCGACAGUUACAUUAGAAUUAUCUAUAAAAAUGGGC
rnacentral:lncRNA from 1 species